GGAGGGCGCAAGCGUUGUUCGGAAUCAUUGGGCGUAAAGAGCGUGUAGGCGGUCAGGCAAGUCGGGUGUGAAAUCCCGGGGCUCAACCCCGGAACUGCACUCGAAACUGCCUGGCUAGAGUCCCGGAGAGGGUGGCGGAAUUCCCGGUGUAGAGGUGAAAUUCGUAGAUAUCGGGAGGAACACCAGUGGCGAAGGCGGCCACCUGGACGGUGACUGACGCUGAGACGCGAAAGCGUGGGGAGCAAACAGGAUUAGAUACCCUGGUAGUCCACGCCGUAAACGUUGGGUGCUAGGCGUCGCGGGUAUUGACCCCCCUGCGGUGCCGCCGUUAACGCAUUAAGCACCCCGCCUGCGGAGUACGGUCGCAAGGCUA
rnacentral:rRNA from 1 species